UGGGGAAUUUUGGACAAUGGGGGAAACCCUGAUCCAGCGACGCCGCGUGUGUGAAGAAGGCCUGCGGGUUGUAAAGCACUUUCGGUGGGAACGAAAUAUGCCGGGCUAAUACCCCGGUAGGCUGACGUUACUCAAUGAAGAAGCACCGGCUAACUCUGUGCCAGCAGCCGCGGUAAUACAGAGGGUGCGAGCGUUAAUCGGGAAUUACUGGGCGUAAAGCGCACGUAGGUGGCGACGUAAGUCGGGUGUGAAAGCCCCGGGCUCAACCUGGGAACUGCAUUCGAGACUGUGUUGCUGGAGUACGGAAGAGGAGGGCGGAAUUCCCGGUGUAGCGGUGAAAUGCGUAGAUAUCGGGAGGAACAUCAGUGGCGAAGGCGGCCCUCUGGUCCAGUACUGACACUCAAGUGCGAAAGCGUGGGGAGCAAACAGGAUUAGAUACCCCAGUAGUCCCUGAGCGGGCUGGCAAGGCGCAU
rnacentral:rRNA from 1 species